UCUUUUCACCACUUACAUUCUAAGACGAGUUUGUUGAAUCGACUUAGAAUGUAGGAUGGUGGCAUUU
rnacentral:pre_miRNA from 1 species